AUGUGAUCGUCUCUCGCAUAUCAAUAAGCGGAGGAAAAGAAACUAACAAGGAUUCCCCUAGUAACGGCGAGUGAAGCGGGAAGAGCUCAAAUUUGAAAUCUUAAAGGGUUUCCCUUUACGAAUUGUAGUUUAAAGAAGUGUUUUCUGUUGAGGUUUUGGUAAAAGUUCUUUGGAAUAGGACAUCAUAGAGGGUGAGAAUCCCGUAUUUGACCUUUACUUUCAGCUUUGUGAUACACUUUCAAAGAGUCGGAUUGUUUGGGAAUGCAGUCCAAAAUGGGUGGUAAAUUUCAUCUAAAGCUAAAUAUUGGCGAGAGACCGAUAGCGAACAAGUACCGCUGAGGGAAAGAUGAAAAGAACUUUGAAAAGAGAGUUAAACAGUACGUGAAAUUGUCAAAAGGGAAGCGUUUGACACCAGUGUUGUUUUUCUGAAAAUCAAUUAAAGAACUGUUUAUGCUAAGCUGUUUAGACUUUAUCAGCUAACUGUUUAGUUUUGAGCUUUUCUUUAAUGCACUUUUCAGUUAACAAGUCAACAUCAAUUUCUUUUGCUGUAAAAAAGCUUGAGGAAGGUGGCUUGAGAUUCGUCUUAAGUGUUUAUAGCCUCUUGCCUAUGCAGUCGGAGAGAUUGAGGUCUGCAGCGUAGAUCCUUCGGGGCUAAAUGCAUUUGUGCUAAGUUAUAGCAUUUUAUAGACAACUUGUUGACUAUGAUUUGUCUUGUAGCUUACUCGCUUAUGUUAUUUUACCUACGCUUAGGAUGUUGAGUCGUAGAGCACGCAG
rnacentral:rRNA from 1 species